CACAGGUGGGCGAGAUGAGUAUUCUAAGGCGCUUGAGAGAACUCGGGAGAAGGAACUCGGCAAAUUGGUACCGUAACUUCGGGAUAAGGUACGCCCUUGUAGCUUGACUGGCCUGCGCCAGGAGGGUGAAGGGGUUGCAAUAAACUGGUGGCUGCGACUGUUUAAUAAAAACACAGCACUCUGCAAACACGAAAGUGGACGUAUAGGGUGUGACGCCUGCCCGGUGCCGGAAGAUUAAAUGAUGGGGUGCAAGCUCUUGAUUGAAGUCCCGGUAAACGGCGGCCGUAACUAUAACGGUCCUAAGGUAGCGAAAUUCCUUGUCGGGUAAGUUCCGACCUGCACGAAUGGCGUAACGAUGGCCACACUGUCUCCUCCCGAGACUCAGCGAAGUUGAAGUGUUUGUGAUGAUGCAAUCUACCCGCGGCUAGACGGAAAGACCCCAUGAACCUUUACUGUAGCUUUGCAUUGGACUUUGAACCGAUCUGUGUAGGAUAGGUGGGAGGCUAUGAAACCGGAACGCUAGUUUCGGUGGAGCCGUCCUUGAAAUACCACCCUGGUUUGUUUGAGGUUCUAACCUUGGCCCGUGAUCCGGGUCGGGGACAGUGCAUGGUAGGCAGUUUGACUGGGGCGGUCUCCUCCCAAAGCGUAACGGAGGAGUACGAAGGUACGCUAGGUACGGUCGGAAAUCGUGCUGAUAGUGCAAUGGCAUAAGCGUGCUUAACUGCGAGACCGACAAGUCGAGCAGGUGCGAAAGCAGGUCAUAGUGAUCCGGUGGUUCUGUAUGGAAGGGCCAUCGCUCAACGGAUAAAAGGUACUCUGGGGAUAACAGGCUGAUACCGCCCAAGAGUUCAUAUCGACGGCGGUGUUUGGCACCUCGAUGUCGGCUCAUCUCAUCCUGGGGCUGUAGCCGGUCCCAAGGGUAUGGCUGUUCGCCAUUUAAAGAGGUACGUGAGCUGGGUUUAAAACGUCGUGAGACAGUUUGGUCCCUAUCUGCCGUGGGCGUUGGAUAUUUGAAGGGGGCUGCUCCUAGUACGAGAGGACCGGAGUGGACGAACCUCUGGUGUACCGGUUGUCACGCCAGUGGCAUCGCCGGGUAGCUAUGUUCGGAAGAGAUAACCGCUGAAAGCAUCUAAGCGGGAAACUCGCCUUAAGAUGAGAUAUCCCUGGGGACUAGAUCCCCUUGAAGGGUCGUUCGAGACCAGGACGUUGAUAGGUCAGGUGUGUAAGCGCAGUAAUGCGUUCAGCUAACUGAUACUAAUUGCCCGUAAGGCUUGAUCCU
rnacentral:rRNA from 1 species